GGCUGGUCUGAAGGCAGUGAGUUAUCUCAACUGAUUGCUCAGUUAGUUACAGAUCGAAAUCCUUGUUCUACUCUUUCCCCCUUCUCAAUACUGUACUUGAAUAGCCUUAU
ensembl:Y_RNA Y_RNA Y RNA